UGAACCGGCAUCCAACCGACGAAUGGAUGGGCGCUCUAUUGCUGCAGAUAAAGUUGAUCUGAUAAAGCUAAUCUGCAUUGACAGCCUGGGUCUUUGCACUAAGGCUUGAUGUCUGUUUGUGCCAAGAGCAAUGUUGCCAGUGAUCAGCCCAAAAGUGAACGUGUUAAAAAAAUAAACAAGCAAUAUAUGGAGUAGCGGCUUGAAGACUGAUGAGACUAGCAAAAUUCAUCCCUGCAGCGGUGGACUGAGAGGUGGGGGGAGUAUACCCGGGGAUAUCUCUAGCUCUCGUCUCAAUGGCACAAGACAAGGCAAGGUCAAUGUUAAGGUCAUAAGAAGCGCUUGGCAAGUGAGAGAAUGCAUUGUGGCAGCCAGUUAGGGAAAAAUGGAGUAAGGAAAGAGGAGACGAUUGAAAAAAAAAAGAAAAAAGAAAAACAAAGAAUGUGCCGGAAGACUAGACGCACCACUUAGCUGGCGUGUCCGGAGAGGCCUGCUUACCAUUCGUAGCCUCUGGAAGAUGCAAUCAAAACAACAACAUUGUGGGAUCUGAGCUAGCCUGUGUUACCCUGUUUAUGUUUUUCACAACGGUGUAUUUUGUAAUCAUUUUUUGCAUAUAAUUGUACUGUGCUUGUGUUUUUUUCCCUUUCACUUUGUGUUUAAGUGCAGCCUGUAUAUCUUUCACUGUGAAGUCAUGGUUCUUUGUGAAUGAAAGUGAGUAGUUGCCUCUUCCAGAGUGUGUUACUAGUGUCAGCCUUUUGUCUAACUGGCAAGUGUAAAGUGUAAUCCCAGCCAAUACCCCAUAGAAAGUGAUGUGUAGACCUCAGCUACUCACAGUAAAUUAUCAGCUAUGACUUUGCAUUAUGUAGGUUUUGGCAGUUAUAUUAUAUUUAAUAUGGAUAUAAUAUCAUACAUGCCCAUUUACACCAUUAUUAGUAUUUAUAAAUUAUGUAAUAAUAUUGUUUCAAUGGUCAUAUACUUCUUACUGUAAGAGUUAUUAGAUGCUUUUGUACUUUCACUAUAACCACUAGAUAAGCACAAUAUGUGACCCCUAAACUAAAGUGUUACCAAAGUGUAUAUUCACAUGUAUUGUUGAGCUAAGUGAAAGCACACAUAUGAAAAACUAAAACAAUAAUAGAAUGUGGCUAUCAAAGUAAAAAAAGCCUUGGACUCCUCUGACCUACAAUGUACAAUUCAAUGAGCUUUAACAAUCAUUACCACACAGCUGAAUGUUGAAAAGAGAGAGAGAGAAGUAAGCCUUCAUUCGUGUGCAUUCUGCUCUUGUAAUCUUGUGUCUGGUUAUCAGGUUGACACCAGCUCUAUGGGCCUGUCUGUCCCGAGUGCGACAGUAACAUCAGCAGAACAUUCCAGGGAGCAGCAGGGGCACAGGCCCAUCUCCCAGCCCACUGGAGCAGUUGUUUCAAGAAUACCUUGAAAAACACGCAUUCUGCUCUCCAGAGAUCUGACCAGUAACUUGGCUUGGUGAUGUGCUUGUCCCCAUGGAGAUGUUAAAGAACAAUGCCAUACUGUGAAACAUUCCAGGCAAAGCAGUACCCUCUCCACUGAGACAAGCAGGUGGCAGACCCUCCCCCCGGUAAGGUUACAUAGUGCACCUUUAAUAGUAACUUUCCACCUCUGGCAUUUCAAGAGUUAAAGUCCUGAACGACAGCCCAUACCUACAGACUAUUGUGGCUCUUGCGGAGAUAAUAUGAAGGAAAUUGUGUGUUGAGAAAAAGGGGUUACGUCUGAUCCAAGAACAAUUUCUCCAAGGUCAAGUGAAGAUUGGGAGGCUGUAAAAUGAUUACUGCAACAGGAAACAGGAUGCUUCUUUUGCUUCUCAAAACACCAGCAUCUCAUAACACACUUCUCUCACUUUCUCUUCCCCCCUUCAGCUCUUUCACACGCUAUCAAUUUUAUUUCUCUUGCUGCUCAAUCCCUCCACAAAUCCUCCAGUUUUUCCACGCAAAGGCCUCGGUUAGUUACAAGCUCCUUUCUGCAUGCAUGCGUUUACUUUCUAUUGACGGGCUGUUCAUCUUUUUGAUUCUGACAGUGAAUACGUUGCAAAGUUCCAUUGAUACUGCUUAAAUGGUCUUUUGGAAAUCUCUCAGCUUCUUUUCAUUGUCGUUGUAAGUUUGCACAUGCACGCAUACAGUAUUUGGUAAUGUUAUUCCUCUUCUUUCUGCAAAGGAAACCACAUCUGUCAGUGAACCUUAAGUUACCUAAAGGGAUAAAGCUUUUUCGACACUUUUAUCUAGAAGUGGUGGCUGCACAGAUUAGCCAAGAACAGCACUCAAUUUAAAAAUCUAUAUGCGGUGCUGUCUCCGUUUGUCUAAAGAUAGAAAAACACAGCAUAUAAGGUCUGUUUUGGGUGCUAUUCUGGUUUGCAACCCUUGAUCGCAUAUUGUAAAAUGUCACACUUGACUUUGCUCUCUCCGUGAUAUAACACAACAGAAUGGAGAGGUUUGUGAUAACAAUGUUCAAAAGAGAAAAAAAACUGAAUAAUUUGAAUUUACGGCAUGGAACGCGAGGUGUUUUUAUUUGUGCGUAAACUCGGCUCACUCGUCAUGUGUUAAAUCCACUGUGAUUUCUCCUAGCACACCUUGUGAUUGCCUUUAAAGUGUGCCGUUCCUUUGGGCUUCUUCAUCAGUUUAUAAGCCCUCUGAUCUCUAUCUCUUUCUUACUUUGGGCAACACGUGAGAUGGAUGCGUUUUUCACACUGUAAUUUCAUACACACAUGCAUGACCAGUGUUCGCUCAGAAGGGGGAUUUCUCUAUUCAAAUGUGUGCCUUCCUUAACCAGAAUAUCUACUACAGCCUCUGCAAUGUGGAGUGUCCCCUAACUAAUGACAUUGUCUCCAUCGUUACUGUUGGAGCUGUCAAAAGUGUUGUUUUUCAGGCUUUAUCUAAGGCAUUGUUUCAGAAACAUGCUGCCAAAGUAGAUAAGAAAUUCCCUGUAGUAGUGCCCAGAACACUCACAACUGAAUCUCACUUCUAGUUGCAAGAAAAUCAUACAAAUAUUUCUGUGUUAGACAAGAUCGAAAACUCCAUUUCUGUUCAAAGUAGCACACUAUUUCAGGUGCAUUAUGACAUAUCAUGAGAGAUUUAUUCAUGCGUGACGUUGACAGUAUAAUCUGCUCUUACUGUAAUGUUGAUCUUUUUCUCAAAACAUAUUCAUGGUCCUCUGUGGGGUCACCAGAGGGCACAGGCAGCUUAUCUCAUAGUAUUGUGCACAAGGCAGGGCCAGCAGCUCAUUACAGGUCAGCUACACAGAGAAAGCUAUAAUUACUGCUGUACGUAUGAGGUCUUAUACUGUAUCGAUUCUCAAAGGAAAAUUCAUCUCAUAAACCUUUGAAAUGAAUAUUAUGUUUUCAGGUCAGAGAUAAACCAAGCCUGUUUUAUGCACUGGGAGACAGGCCGUGUAAUAUUCUUUGUUAUAUUGUAUUUUUUCUGACUGUAUUGAUUUUUAAUAAAACAUAAUUUUAUUGGUUA